rnacentral:tRNA from 1 species
GCCCCCAUCGUCUAGUGGUUUAGGACACUUCCCUUUCAAGGCGGCAACGGGGGUUCGAAUCCCCCUGGGGGUA